AAACGUUAGCUGCGCCACUGAAAGACAUUGUCUCCCAACAGCUAGUUGUCAUCGUUUACGGCGUGGACUACCAGGGUAUCUAAUCCUGUUCGCUACCCACGCUUUCGCACCUCAGUGUCAGUACAGAACCAGGAAGCUGCCUUCGCCAUUGGUAUUCUUCACAAUAUCUACGCAUUCCACCGCUACACUGUGAAUUCUACUUCCCUCUUUCGUACUCUAGUGAACUAGUUUUGGAUGCAGUUCCUAGGUUGAGCCCAGGGCUUUCACAUCCAACUUAAUAAACCACCUACGCGCGCUUUACGCCCAGUAAUUCCGAUUAACGCUUGGACCUUCCGUAUUACCGCGGCUGCUGGCACGGAAUUAGCCGGUCCUUAUUCUGUAGUAACAUCAAGGAUUGCAGGUAUUAACUACAAUCUUUUUCUCCUUACUUAAAGUGCUUUACAACCCUAGAGCCUUC
rnacentral:rRNA from 1 species